UAGGGAAUCUUCGGCAAUGGGGGGAACCCUGACCGAGCAACGCCGCGUGAGUGAAGAAGGCUUUCGGAUCGUAAAGCUCUGUUGUUAAGGAAGAACGAGCGUGAGAAUGGAAAGUUCAUGCUGUGACGGUACUUAACCAGAAAGGGACGGCUAACUACGUGCCAGCAGCCGCGGUAAUACGUAGGUCCCGAGCGUUGUCCGGAUUUAUUGGGCGUAAAGCGAGCGCAGGCGGUUAGAAAAGUCUGAAGUGAAAGGCAGUGGCUCAACCAUUGUAGUCUUUGGAAACUGUUUAACUGGAGUGCAGAAGGGGGGAGUGGAACUCCAUGUGUGACGGUGAAAUGCGUAGAUAUAUGGAGGAACACCGGUGGCGAAAGCGGCUCUCUGGUCUGUAACUGACGCUGAGGCUCGAAAGCGUGGGGAGCGAACAGG
rnacentral:rRNA from 1 species